AAGUUUUAAUUGUAUGACAGUCAUCACCAUUCUGUAGUCAGCUGAUAGAAAAUAUGACGUGGAAUGAGCCAGCAGAAACAGACAUAUAACAGGCAGCAGCACAUGCAGACUGAAGGGGUUUCACUUCAUCAAAGAUCAAUGACUCUAUGAAGAGAAAGCACUGGAGAAUCUGGACAUAAUGGAAAUAGAGGGUGUUUAGGAAUAGAAGGUCGGGGGCUCCCUGAAGGUCAAGGAUAAUAUCAUUCUUUGUUUUUAAUGCUUUUUCUCUGUGCUCAGUGUCUCACACAUAGGCCUUCACCUCAGCACUCCAGCAGAACAGAAUAAAAUACCUUGCCGUGUAA